CUCUGCGACAAGGAGACCACGCCCUGUCCAGCCCCUCCCCUGAGUCUGAGAAAGUGGAUAUCUUGUUUCCGCACCAAAGCAAGAAACAUACUGGCGGAAGGGAGGCUUUGGCCUUCAAAAACACAACUAGAAAGUUUGAAACAACCAAAAUGGAUAUAUCAGGAUGCAGCAGAAAUCUACCAAAGCAAGAACUUCUUGAAGUCUCAGGGGAAAAAAAAAGUGCAUAAAGCCACUGCCUUUGAACCUCCCAGUCAGGCCUGCCUCCAACAGCAUGCAUCCUGCCAAUUCCCUUGGACCUCCUGGCCCAGCCUACCUCCACCAGCAAACUUCCUGAGUGCCCCGCUGUCUGGCUUACUGCCUCCAUUGGACCUCCCAGCCAAGCCCACUUACACAUGAACACUUUGUGCAUGACCCACCACCAGGGACGCUGCCAGAAGCUGUGCUCAGGUAAUCCUCCCACCUCCUAGACCUAGUAUUGCUCUUGAUUUUCAGCUCCCAUCCCUCCUCCCAUAAUCUUGCACUGCAUUGGAUUAACUGAGCUGGGUUAAUGGGAGACUCAGUAACUUUUCACUCAAACAGAAGACUUCAACAGGCUCCAGUCAGUGUGGUGAGUUUGCCUCUAAAAUAGAGGUCUUCAGUGUGUAAAUAGAAGCAGUAGUAAAGUUCCCUUCAACUGUAAGACCUUGGUGAGCUUGGCAACAUUUUGAUGAUUCCUUCCUGCACACAGAGAACAUCAGACAGGUUGAGGAGUAUGCCAAUAGGGCCUCCCACAACUUGGAGCAAAUUAAAAUGGCCUAGGAAACACCUAGUGACAUGUUAGGGCUUUAGUUGAGACAAACACAAUAGACAGGGAGAUCUGGUACCCUGGAGUAGCCUGAAGACAUAGUAACACUAUGAACAAAUGGUAGAAGUACAUUAUUCCUAGGCUAGUCAGCACACCAAAAAUAUAGGACUCACCCAACAGGCCCUGAAGGAGGAAUUUAGUUGACCGGCUCUCCUCUACAAUGUGGUACUCAACAAUUGGACAAACAUCAACCACACAGUAGGACCCUAAGAUAUGUGUUAAUGAUACUUGAGAUUAUUGGGAUUGAAAGACCAAAUAUUAGCCCAAAAAUUGAAGAUGACAAAAUGAAAAAGCAAAGUGCAGUGUCAAAUGUCUAGUACAUCAGGGGCAAGUACAGGCAAUAUUGAAAUAGAGGACUUUAAAAAGUUGUACACCAGAAAUCUCUGAAAGAUAGCAAGUGAUAUAAAGAAAUACAUCCAUGAGGCUAUAGAGGAAGUCAAAUUAGAAAUAGUUUCUCACCUAAAGACAGAAAUAAAAGCCUUAGUAAAGGAGUUGCUCAGUAUAGCUAGAGAAGAAAUAGAUUAAAAAAAAAAAACAAGAGUAUCGGAAAUUUGUUGAAACUUUGAAUGAACAAUAUAGAAAAAAAGCAGAAUACCUAAAAUGAAUUCAAAGAGAUAUAUAAGAAAUAAAAAAUACUACUGAAAGCUGACAAAUCAUUUACAUGAAGCUGAGGAUAGAAUUUCAGACCUUGAGGACAGGAUCACAGUUAGGAAUCAUGAAAGGUUAGAACUUUUAAAAACAACAAAGCAGCAUGAAAUGACAAUCCAGCAGGUUCAAGAUGACACCAAGAGAAACAAUAUGAAAUGAAAAGGCAUCAGUGAAGCUGCAGGAGUCAGCAUGAAUGACAUAGGUAAACUAUUCACAGAAGUAAUAGCAGAAAACUUCCCAAACAUGGGCAAAAAUCUGAUAUACACAUAAGUGAGACAUAUAGAAUGCCAAACAAUCACAACCAACAUAAGUCUACAGCCAAACAUAUAAUAAUUAGGAUCCUACAUAUACAACAUAAAAACAGAAUACUAAAAGCUGUUAGAAAAAUGAUACAACUCACCUAUCAAGGAAAGACCAUUAGAAUCACAGUAGACUUUUCAGCACAAAUGCUCCUGUUAAAACAAGCUUGGAGUGAAGUACUUCCAAUCCUGAAAUAAAACAACUAUCCACCCAGACUGAUACACCCAGAAAAACUCUCUUUCAACUUUAAUAGAAAAAUUAGAUAUUUCUAUGUCAAACAAUGACUGAAGAAAUUUAUGUCCACAAAAAGAACCCUAGAAAGAGUACUGAAAUACGUACUAGAUGGAGAUAAAAAUGAUUUCAAUCACUAGAACAACAGAAAGAUACCACCAGAUAGGGGCUAGGAAUUUAGCUCAGCAGCAUAAGCACCUUGCAAGCAGGUGGUCAUGAGUUUGAUUCCCUGCACUGAUAAAAAGAGAGAAAAAAAAAGAAACCACCAGAUAGGAAAAGCAAUUAAACAAGGGGAAAAACAGAAAGUAAACAACUGGAACAUAACAUGGCAAAAUCAAGCCAGUACACAUCAAUUAUACUCAUAAAUGUAAAUGGUCUCAAUUCACCUAUCAAAAGAAAUAAGUUGACAGAAUGGAUCAUGAAACAAGAUCCCACAAUAUGCUGUACUAAAAAAACACACACACACACAUAGCACAAAGACAGGGAUCCACAAGAGAAAAACUCAGCAAAGAAAUAUUAGAACUGAAUCAUGUCCUUGAGAAAAUGGACUUAGUAGGUGUUUACAGAGUGUUCCACCCAACCACAUCAGAAUAUACAUUCUUUUCAGCUGCACAUGGGAAAUUCUCCAGGAUGGAUGACAUAUUAACUCAUAAAAUAUUCUUAAGCAAAUGCAAAGGGAUUUAUUAUCCCAUGCAUAAUAUCUGACCAUACUACACUGAAAUUGGAA